rnacentral:rRNA from 1 species
CUCAGUUCAGAUUGCAGGCUGCAACUCGCCUGCAUGAAGUCGGAAUUGCUAGUAAUCGUAGGUCAGCAUACUACGGUGAAUACGUUCCCGGGCCUUGUACACACCGCCCGUCAAACCAUGAGAGUUGGCAACACCCGAAGUCGGUAGUCUAACCGCAAGGAGGACGCCGCCGAAGGUGGGGUUGAUGAUUAGGGUUAAGUCGUAACAAGGUAAC